CCGGGACACUGUUGGUGAAGGUGGAACAGGGCCGUGAUGUUGUGUUACCCUGCUCUCUCAGCACCAAGGAGGACAUUGAGUUUAAUCUCUUUGACUGGAAGAAAGCUCCUCAGAAAGAUGAAGGUCUGAAGAAGGUGUUCCUGUAUAACGACGGCUUUCAUUACAACAACGGUCGAGCUGGUCAGAGUGAAGAGUUCAAAGGUCGAGUCUCUCAUUUUCAAGAUGAACUGAAACACAGCAACGCCUCCAUAAUCAUCAGAAAUACAAAGAUAUCUGACAGUGGAGUCUACAGCUGUGAUUUUCCUCGUCUUCAGCCUCGUCAAAAAUUCUACAUUGAGCUUGUUGUUGCUGCUUCUCCAGCACC